ACCGAUGAUGAGUGUCAUCCCAGCGGACUGGUGAAGACGUUUUAUCCCCACCUGAGG
rnacentral:snoRNA from 1 species